CCUCUCGUAGCUCAGUGGCAGAGCAAUCGCUUGAUAAGCGAUCGACGGAUGUUCGAUUCAUCACGGGAGGA
rnacentral:tRNA from 1 species